ACUUCACCAUCAUAAACACACAGUGUCUAAUGAUUACCAAUUUCAUCAAUCGCUUUAAAACAGCAACAACAAAUCAUCAAUAACCACCACCAAUAAAGUCAUACUAUAGAUCAAAUCGUAUAAUGCCAUUGGUUUUCAUUGGA